AAACAGAUGUAAUGACCUGAGUUUGCCUGGAAAUAAUGAAGUAGUCUAGAUUUCAUUAUUUCCAGGCAAACUCAGGUCAUUACAUCUGUUUUGUAACA